GACGAACGCUGGCGGCGUGCUUAACACAUGCAAGUCGAACGGUAAGGCCCUUCGGGGUACACGAGUGGCGAACGGGUGAGUAACACGUGGGUGAUCUGCCCUGCACUUCGGGAUAAGCCUGGGAAACUGGGUCUAAUACCGGAUAGGACCACUGCCUGCAUGGGUGGUGGUGGAAAGCUUUUGCGGUGUGGGAUGGGCCCGCGGCCUAUCAGCUUGUUGGUGGGGUGAUGGCCUACCAAGGCGACGACGGGUAGCCGGCCUGAGAGGGUGACCGGCCACACUGGGACUGAGAUACGGCCCAGACUCCUACGGGAGGCAGCAGUGGGGAAUAUUGCACAAUGGGCGCAAGCCUGAUGCAGCAACGCCGCGUGAGGGAUGACGGCCUUCGGGUUGUAAACCUCUUUUAGUAGCGAAGAAGCGAAAGUGACGGUACCUGCAGAAAGAGCACCGGCUAACUACGUGCCAGCCGCCGCGGUAA
rnacentral:rRNA from 1 species